UACGAAGGGGGCUAGCGUUGCUCGGAAUCACUGGGCGUAAAGGGUGCGUAGGCGGGUCUUUAAGUCAGGGGUGAAAUCCUGGAGCUCAACUCCAGAACUGCCUUUGAUACUGAAGAUCUUGAGUCCGGGAGAGGUGAGUGGAACUGCGAGUGUAGAGGUGAAAUUCGUAGAUAUUCGCAAGAACACCAGUGGCGAAGGCAGCACUCUGGGACGUGACUGACGCUGAGACGCGAAAGCGUGGGGAGCAAACAGG
rnacentral:rRNA from 1 species